ACAACCGCAUAUAUUGCCCUAAAACCAUUUUGUAAUCAGAACACCAUCUGAAAUGGACGUAAACGUGCUGAACAAAAUAACGGAUACGUUAUCUACAUAAGCACGUCUGCGGUACAUCAUAUUGUUUGUAGAAAAGGUACACACGACUACUCAACGCAAUAGCAGGAGUUCUAGGAACUCUGAAAGACAAAACGGCUAUUCCCGUGGAACGAAAUGGGUACGCUGCCAAAUCCAAAUAAGUUGAGGUGCGGUUAUCCAUAGUCUGUGUGGUCACGAGCCUAAAUCCGCACAAAAUUAAAAACAAUUUUGCUGAAUGGUAGGUGAGUGUGAAGGACACUUCCGUAACUCGACACGGUACGGAAGUCAAAUGGUAGCUCCAUUUGGCUCAGCCCGUACUAUUAUGUGACUGAAUAUUCUGUGCAAUGUAGAUGUUUGUAUAAGCCGUACACUAUCGUGGCGGUGAAAACGUUA
rnacentral:ncRNA from 1 species